rnacentral:rRNA from 1 species
AUUGAACGCUGGCGGCAGGCCUAACACAUGCAAGUCGAACGGUAACAGGAAGAAGCUUGCUUCUUUGCUGACGAGUGGCGGACGGGUGAGUAAUGUCUGGGAAACUGCCUGAUGGAGGGGGAUAACUACUGGAAACGGUAGCUAAUACCGCAUAACGUCGCAAGACCAAAAAGGGGGACCUUCGGGCCUCUUGCCAUCGGAUGUGCCCAGUUGGGAUUAGCUAGUAGGUGGGGUAACGGCUCACCUAGGCGACGAUCCCUAGCUGGUCUGAGAGGAUGACCAGCCACACUGGAACUGAGACACGGUCCAGACUCCUACGGGAGGCAGCAGUGGGAAUAUUGCACAAUGGGCGCAAGCCUGAUGCAGCCAUGCCGCGUGUAUGAAGAAGGCCUUCGGGUUGUAAAGUACUUUCAGCGGGGAGGAAGGGAGUAAAGUUAAUACCUUUGCUCAUUGACGUUACCCGCAGAAGAAGCACCGGCUAACUCCGUG